rnacentral:tRNA from 1 species
GCCUUUGUGGUGUAACAGUAGCACACUUGACGCGUAUUCGAGAGCUCCGGGUUCAAGCCCCGGUGAAGGCA